ensembl:lncRNA
AGACAAAAAGCAUCGCCGUCACCCUGCGUGAACAGCACUGGAAGUUGAAUGCGGGAUGAGCUUUGCCUUGCGUGCGGUACCGGGUCACACCGGGCCUCCAGCCGGGCCUCCCGCAGGCAGCGCUCUGUUCUGCCCGUUCCCUGCAGUGGGGGACGGGGAGAAGCCGAAACCAGAGGCUGUGCAACCCGAUGUGUUAGAAGAAAAUCGGUAUCUCGGCCUCGGGAGGAGCUGGACUGAGUUUUGACAUGCUUAGGAAAGACGGCGCUCUGGAAUCCUGUUUUCCCAUUGAGGUCAUUGCUCGUGGGUCCGCUGCAGCACGCGGGGUUGGGGUCUCCCUCGUGCCGGUGCCUGAAGAAGCGCUGAAGGAGUGAAGGCAGAACCUGCUGAGGUUUCACCGCCUUCGCGUGGCUCCUGGGCCGUACAGGGAUCAACUUCUGGGCAACGAGAUUCGAAGGGGGCACAGAGCGCACCUUUCCAACUUGAGCAGCAAAAUCCUCGUGCUGCUCAGGUCCUGAAAUAGAGCCCCGCCGUGGAUGACUUCAAGGACAGGAGUUUGUUCCUUAUCCCUGGAUUUCUCUUAAGGGAAAUCAGGACACGGAAAUUUAAACUUUACAUUAAGAAAAGAAUCAGGAUAGGCACUUUCUGCUUUAAAAAUAAGCGUGGGCAAAAUUGCAACUCACCUGGUAAUAAUUUGAGGCUUAAAUGUUUUAAAACUUCCCCAAAAUUAAUGAGAAGAAUAUUUCAGUGGUAUUUGCUCUCUUCUGAAGGAAGCUCCCCAGGGAAGCCUCUGGCCAGGCAGAGGUUGCAUGCAGUCAGCCACGUUCUGGAAAUCAGACCUUUGCCUGAAUGUGCAGAGGGAGUGUUUCUGUAAUUUCUGUUUGUUCUGUCCAUUUACUUCAAAGCUUACGUUAAAAGCUGAAAAGCCACCCAGGGACUGAAAAAAAAACAUGAAUGAUUUUUUAAAUUGAUGAAUAAAUUUAUUUAAAUCAUGAAUGUCUUAAUUAAUUUAUGGAGCGAGACCCAAGUGAACCAGAUCUAAAGUCCUGGAGGGCUCUGUGACCAGGCAGCCAGCUCAGCUCAGUGACUAUGCGGGGUACUCCCUUCUCUUAAUAAACCAGGUAGCUUUGCUUAAAGUUUUUUGAUAUGCUCAUCUGCUUUUCCCAUGUUUCUUAUGCAAAGCUCCAUUAAAAUAUCCACUUCACAUUUCAAGAUGCUUUGUGAACAUUUGUGUUGCAUUCCUGCUUCUAUCAUAAUACAUUUUGGCUUCAAGCAUAUGUAAGGACUGAUAAUAACAAAGUAAAUGAGAAAUACAUCACCCUUCAGUUUAACAUAAUGAAACUGAACAGUUGAGCAUGAAAAAAUGUAUAGGAAACUCUUUAAUUGGCCUGUCUCUAGACAGCAGAUUCCUACCAACAAGCACGGAAUAUCAGUUUUCUUGAAGAAAAACUGAAUGAUAUGAAGGCCAGCUGAGAUCAAAGCCAGGUAAUUAAAGGAAGGUUGCCUGUGCUUCGUUGCUCUUUCAUUCUGUUUUUGUGGCCUCCAAGUACAGUGUCUGCAUGCCACACUUUAUUAAGCAGUAUGAGGCACCUAGGAUUUUAAGCAUCACUUUAAAGCACUCAAUACCUUAUUGAUGCUUUCCAAGACAUAACAGUAAUAGCAAUUUCAAAUAUAUGAGUUAAAUGCGAGCGAUGCGCUUCCAUCAGGUCAAACCCAGCAGUUGUGAAAGUCUGUUUGUGUUGUUGUAGUGGGAUAUACAUGAAAGUGUAUUUGUAUAAAAGAGGCAGUGAAAAUGCAGUCCCCGUGUUGAAAAGCACAAAUGCUGUCCUCUCUUCAAGACACUCACAGGUCUGUGAUGUACAAUGAAAUACAAAGAUUGCUGUGCAGGAAAGCAGCUUAGGACGUACCAAGCAUUUGGAGAGUUUGCUUUCCAAAGUUUGUUUCAAUUUUCAUGAGUGACAGAUGUUUUGUCAUGGAAUUUUUCAAGCAAAUGAUGGGAACUGUCAUGGCACUCAGGCUGACAUGGUGUUGGAGGAAGGAUUUUCUUCAAAUGUGACCUUUACUGAGGGUUAGACAUUGUUUGUCACUUAAUAACUUCAGAAUUAAAGAACACAUCAAGC